AGGGUUUGAUCAUGGCUCAGGACAAACGCUGGCGGCGCGCCUAAAACAUGCAAGUCGUGCGGACCAGCUUGUCUGGUCAGCGGCGAACGGCUGAGUAACACGUGGGUGACCUACCGUCGAGCGGGGGAUAACCGGCCGAAAGGUUGGCUAAUACCGCAUGCGCUCACUCGGGCUGCCGGGUGAGGAAAGCCGCAAGGCGCUCGGCGAUGGGCCCGCGGCCGAUUAGCUGGUUGGUGGGGUAACGGCCCACCAAGGCGACGAUCGGUAGCUGGUCUGAGAGGAUGGCCAGCCAGACGGGGACUGAGACACGGCCCCGACUCCUACGGGAGGCAGCAGUUAGGAAUCUUGGGCAAUGGGCGAAAGCCUGACCCAGCGACGCCGCGUGGGGGACGAAGGCCCUCGGGUUGUAAACCCCUUUUGCCAGGGAAGAAGCUGACGGUACCUGGCGAAUAAGCCCCGGCUAACUCCGUGCCAGCAGCCGCGGUAAUACGGAGGGGGCGAGCGUUGUCCGGAUUUACUGGGCGUAAAGGGCGCGUAGGUGGUAUGGCGCGUCGGCCGUGAAAGCCCCCGGCUCAACUGGGGGAGGCCGGCCGAUACGGCGAUGCUGGAGGACGGGAGAGGGAAGCGGAAUUCCCGGUGGAGCGGUGAAAUGCGUAGAGAUCGGGAGGAACACCAGUGGCGAAGGCGGCUUCCUGGCCCGUUCCUGACGCUGAGGCGCGAAAGCGUGGGGAGCGAUCCGGAUUAGAUACCCGGGUAGUCCACGCCCUAAACGAUGGAUGCUGGGUUGUCGGGGG
rnacentral:rRNA from 1 species